CUCCUCCCUGCGCUUGAUUCCAAAGCUGCAGAGGUCAGAGUUAUAGGACUGGGAGGCUUAAGACACUGGGAUGGUGGCCCUGCCUUCUCCAGCUCAGCUCAGCUCAGCUCAGCUAAGAACAAUCAAGGUCAGGUCAGCUCCCAGAUCAACCCAAGGACCCUUGGGAGACUCUGCCCCCAACAGGAUAAAACCCAAGCCCCAUGGAUUGAGGGUCCCACCCUGAAGCUGAAUCUAUCAGACUAGGAUUUCUUCUGCCAGAUUAAAGGCCAUUUGCCUUGAUGAAUUGAGCAGCUUGGUGAUCUCUCUGAUUACUCUCAACAUUACACCGUCAUGCCCAUGCUGUGGACUCUCCUGUUCCCACGAUGUAUCUCCAAACAGUGCAAUAAAAAUCCUUAUUUUUA
rnacentral:lncRNA from 1 species